rnacentral:rRNA from 1 species
CCCGAUCUCAUCUCAUCUUGGAAGCCAAGCAGGGUCAGGCCUGGUUAGUACCUGGAUGG